AUUGAACGCUGGCGGCAUGCUUUACACAUGCAAGUCGGACGAGUGGCGAACGGGUGAGUAAUAUAUUGGAACGUACCGAGUAAUGGGGGAUAACCAUUCUAAAGCUUGGCUAAUACCGCAUAUUAUUCGAGCGGCCCAUAUCUGAUUAGCUAGUUGGUGGGGUAAAGGCCUACCAACGCGGCGAUCAGUAUCGGGUCUGAGAGGAUGAUCGGCCACACUGGGACAGAGACACUGCCCGGACUCCUACGGGAGGCAGCAGUGGGGAAUUUUGGACAAUGGGCGCAAGCCUGAUCCAGCCAUGCCGGGUGUCUGAAGAAGGCCUUCGGGUUGUAAGGGACUUUUGUUAGGGAAGCGGUACCUAAAGAAUAAGCACCGGCUAACUACGUGCCAGCAGCCGCGGUAAUUC
rnacentral:rRNA from 1 species